UACGUAGGGGGCAAGCGUUGUCCGGAAUUACUGGGCGUAAAGGGCGCGUAGGCGGCCCGCUAAGUCGAACGUGAAAUCCCCAGGCUUAACCUGGGAACUGCGUCGGAUACUGGAUGGCUUGAAUUCGGGAGAGGGAUGCAGAAUUCCAGGUGUAGCGGUGAAAUGCGUAGAUAUCUGGAGGAAUACCGGUGGCGAAGGCGGCAUCCUGGACCGACAUUGACGCUGAUGAGCGAAAGCUAGGGGAGCGAACAGG
rnacentral:rRNA from 1 species